rnacentral:rRNA from 1 species
AUACGUAGGUGACAAGCGUUAUCCGGAUUUACUGGGCGUAAAGGGCGUGUAGGCGGUCUUGCAAGUCAGAAGUGAAAUUCCUGAGCUCAACUCGGGCGCUGCUUCUGAAACUGCAGGACUUGAGUGCUGGAGGGGAUAGCGGAAUUCCUAGUGGAGCGGUAAAAUGCGCAGAUAUUAGGAAGAACACCGGUGGCGAAGGCGGCUAUCUGGACAGUAACUGACGCUGAGGCGCGAAAGCGUGGGGAGCAAACAGGAUUAGAUACCCUGGUAGUCCACGCAGUAAACGAUGAUGGCUAACCGCUGGUUUUUUCGGAUCAGUGGCCAAGCGAAAGCGAUAAGCCAUCCACCUGGGGAGUACGACCGCAAGGUUGAAACUCAAAUGAAUUGACGGGG